CGUUCAUUCUUUCUAAGGUUUUGCUAUAAAUAAAGACUUCUUGUUCUAGUUAUUCUGGUUUUCGGCUUUCUCUGGUUCUUUCUCGUACGUUUCUAGAUCUAGAAAAUAAAAUUUUCGCAAUCGCUUCCUUCAUUAUAAUUUUUAUUUAUUUUAGGUUUUGCAUCAUAUUUGAUUUCGAAUUUUCCGUUUGACCGAUUUCGAACAAUUCUUUUUUUUCAGAUCAAAGAUUUUCGAAAAUUAAAAUUUUCUUCAAAACAAUUCCAGUUUAUUCAAUUAUAUUUCCCGUCUAUUUUUGCUUUUAAUUUUGCAGGCAACUCUGUGAGAACUGAGAGGAGGAUGAUUGUUGGACAGAAUUUAGUGGAUCUGGGUUCACUUAGAUUUGUAGGUGCAAGAGCAAAAAGAACGAAAGAAAUCAUUGGUUCCAGGAUGUUUAGAUCAUUGGUAGGAGGAAGGUAUCAUUCAUGGUGAACAGUGAGUUUUGGUGAGGAUAGAGGUAUAUAUAUGAGAUGUAAAAGAGAUCGAUACAACAGGCUCUAUCUAAAGAGUUUUGCGUGUCAGAUCUUCUUUGUCAUCUGACCUUUGCCAUGACGGGUGCGCUUGCUUGGCAGGUCAAAAAAAAUCAUAAUAAAAAAAUUGAGUUUUGGUGUGGAACAGGGGAGUUCGCACGGGGUGUUUUUUUUGCCCGGGUUCUCUCCUGUUGUAUGUUGGUGUCCCUUUGUCUCUCUGAAUUCCUAUGGCCAUACAAAUCAUGUUUCUGAUCAUCAAGAUCAUCAAAAUCUGCAAGGUUCGAAUCAACACCAUGGGAUCUAUAGAGUCUCGCUCUCGCUCAAGGAAGUUUCAGAAAUCUGCCGAUCUAACCGGCAAGGCGAAGAAGCAGGUUUCUCAUACUGUGAUUCCAAUGGAUCUUGUUGUUCAAAGUACUCUGGCCUGGAGAGCUGAGCCCUGUAAUUGUCAUGAAGUUCAUAAAGUUUCAGAUUUAUCAUGAUUUCUUAUAACUAUGUCAUUCUUUAUUCCAUAGUUAUGAAAUUCAUUCAGAAGAAAUAAGAAUUAUUCAGAAUUAUUUAUCAAGUAGAUAUGCGUACCAAUUGGUUAUACUCCUAGCAUCUUAUAACUAUGUCAUUCUUAUUUGGAAAUUCAUUCAGACAUAAGAAUUCGGAAUUUAUUUAUCAAGUAGAUAUGCCUACCAAACAUUUUAUUUGGUUAUACUUCAAGCGCAGGCGAAGGAACUACUUUCUUAUACUAAUAUUCCAGUCUGGCGAUUUUUUGUUGUACAAGUACUCUGAUCUGGCUGGUAAGCUGAGCCCAGUAAUUGUCAGCGGGUAAUCUGGAAGUUUCAGAUUUAUCAUGAUUUCUUAUAAUUAUGUAAUUCAUUGGCUGAGCCCAGUAAUUGUCAGCGGGUUAUCUUGAAGUUUCGGAUUUAUCAUGAUUUCUUAUAUUUCAGAAAUAAGAACUAUUCAUAAAUUGCUCUGGUAUUUUUUAGUUCUUAUUCAAGUGCUACCAAAUGUCAGACUUCCGAAAAAAAAAAGUGUUGUUGUGACUUGCUGAAAGUCUGUUGCAUUUGUAAAGCCUUCAUGUAUUGUUGGACUUUUAAAUAUUUUCAUGCUUCAAUUUUUUUUC